CAGUAGCCACGGUAAUACGUAGGGGGCAAGCGUUGUCCGGAAUUAUUGGGCGUAAAGCGCGCGCAGGCGGUUUUUUAAGUCUGGUGUCUAAGUGCGGGGCUCAACCCCGUGACGCACUGGAAACUGGGAGACUUGAGUGCAGAAGAGGAGAGCGGAAUUCCACGUGUAGCGGUGAAAUGCGUAGAGAUGUGGAGGAACACCAGUGGCGAAAGCGGCUCACUGGACAAUAACUGACGCUGAUGCACGAAAGCUAGGGGAGCAAACAGGAUUAGAUACCCCCGUAGUCCCUGUCUCUUAUACA
rnacentral:rRNA from 1 species